CGGUCGAAGCAGCCUUAACCUAGUGGCGGACGGGUGAGUAACGCGGUGGGGAACCUGCCCUGUACUGGGGGGAUAACAGUGAAGAAAUCACUGCUAAUACCGCAUAAGCGCACAGCAUUGCAUGAUGCAGUGUAGAAAAACUGAGGUGGUACAGGAUGGCUCCGCGUUGGAUUAGCCAGUUGGCGGGGUAACGGCCCACCAAAGCGACGAUCCAUAGCCGGCCUGAGAGGGUGAACGGCCACAUUGGGACUGAGACACGGCCCAGACUCCUACGGGAGGCAGCAGGUGGGGAAUAUUGCACAAUGGGGGAAACCCUGAUGCAGCCGACGCCGCGUGAAGGAAGAAGUAUCUCGGUAUGUAAACUUCUAUCAGCAGGGAAGAUGAUGACGGUACCUGACUAAGAAGCCCCGGCUAACUACGUGCCAGCAGCUGC
rnacentral:rRNA from 1 species